GACGAACGCUGGCGGCGUGCUUAACACAUGCAAGUCGAACGGAAAGGCCCUGCUUGCAGGGUGCUCGAGUGGCGAACGGGUGAGUAACACGUGGGUGAUCUGCCCCUUACUUUGGGAUAAGCCUGGGAAACUGGGUCUAAUACUGGAUAGGACCAUGCUGUAGGUGGUGUGGUGGAAAGAUUAGUUUCGGUCAGGGAUGAGCUCGCGGCCUAUCAGCUUGUUGGUGGGGUAAUGGCCUACCAAGGCGUCGACGGGUAGCCGGCCUGAGAGGGUGGACGGCCACAUUGGGACUGAGAUACGGCCCAGACUCCUACGGGAGGCAGCAGUGGGGAAUAUUGCACAAUGGGCGCAAGCCUGAUGCAGCGACGCCGCGUGGGGGAUGACGGCCUUCGGGUUGUAAACUCCUUUCAGCCAUGACGAAGCCCUUGUGGUGACGGUAGUGGUAGAAGAAGCACCGGCUAACUACGUG
rnacentral:rRNA from 1 species